UAUUUAAAUUAAUAUAUAUACGGUAGGCCAGAUAUUUUUUUGGCUUGUUGUGGGAAACGUUGGUUAUUUUUGCACACUUUUUGCUGAGUGCGCUUGGAGACCUUUCUGCCUUUUAUCCGCAGCUUCUCAUCGUGCUUUGUCCAGUGCUUCCUACUUCUCUCCAACUCUGCUCCAACCAGCUCAAAUGGCAAUAUUUAUAACUUUGAUCGAAAGGGGAGGGGCUGGUUGGAGCUGGUGAGAUUAACAAAGACCACUCCACUUUGCUGAAACAUGAGAAUGUUUAAAAAGUACAUAUUUUUAAUGCAGAACAAAUGUUCUGUGUAUUUGUAUCAGAAGUGACCCACUUAUUUAAGGUUGAACAGCCUAAGUGGUUUGUUGUACAGUUCUGUAAAGUGUUUUUUAUGUUUGUUAGGAUGGGACCGUGAAGCUGUGGGAUUACAAAUCUGGCUGUUGUCUGCAGAGCUGGGACCUCAGGCUGUUUGAUGAAAACCCAAGUUCUGAUCCUGACAAAGAGAAGAACAUGGCUGUGUGUCGACUCACGAGCUCCUAUGAUGGUUGUCAUGUAGCUGUGUUGUG